GCCGCCUUGGCUUAGAGGCAUAGCGAUUCCUUGGUAAGGAAUAGGUCCCGGGUUCGAUUCCCGGAGGCGGCU
rnacentral:tRNA from 1 species